UUUCUUUUAGAAUUGUAGAAGAAUACCAUGACUUAUAUACAUUACAAAGAGGAAGGAUGGAGAAUGAUAUUAAACACUUAAUGGAAGAAAGAGAUAUAUGGAGCGCAGCUACAUAUGAAUUGGCCCUGAAGGUAAUUGAAAGAAAUAGAGUCAUUUUGGCUAAAAGACUCUACCUCAAUGAAAAAGGUUGGAAUAAAUAUGCAAGGCAUUUCAUCAUAUUGCUGUCAAACAAGGACACUGUAGACCUUGCAGUGUUACAGAAGUUGACAGUGAAAUGGAAAAUCUCAAUGAACAAAUUUAAAAAGGAGGCGGAACGAAACGAAGAAUCUACAAAGGAGACAUUGCAGAUAAUUAAAGAUGGCCUUAUCAAAUGGCAGCAGUUCUUCGUAAAUAAUGCAAAAGACAUUUUAUCCUCUAAUAAGGGAAAUUUAUGCAAUUUAGUUCUUUCAGACUUCAGGCAAUGGCAAAGGAUGCUGGCUGAACAGAAGGAAAAGUAUACUGGGGAUACUCUAAUGUCAAAACAUGAUACCCUCAAGAUUAUUAAACAUUUACAGGAAAACUGGGUGAAUAUUGGGCUUGGAAUUUUUAGUCGCCAUAAAAAUAUGGAGGGGGAGGUGCCACCAGAGCGACGGGACAUGGAGGACAUUUUGAAAAGCAUAGGAAAACUCUACAAAGAAUAUGAAAUAAGAAUAAGUGGAGAUAAUGGCAUCUCUAAAAUGAUUCCAAAUAUGGUUGGUACUCUUGAUUUCUGCUGUUACAAGUUGGAAAACGUGGAGUCUUUUGCUUUCUUUCUUGAAGAAUGGGAGGGAGUUGAUAAAAAAAUUAAUGAAAUGAAACCUCGGUUGGAUUCACUGAUAAACAUUAUUGGCACUGUUCCACAGCACAUGGAUGUGGAUUCUGGUCCGUAAGUUCCCAUGAGUUCUCUGCCUUUUGAGAGUAUGUUUUUAAAACCUUUAUUGAAAUAUAAUUCACAUGCUAUACAUUUCACCCUUUUAAAGUGUGUAAUUCAGUGGUUUUCAGUACAUUUAUAGAUUUGGGCCACUGCAGUCAAUUUUAGAACAUUUUAUCACCUCAAAAAG
rnacentral:lncRNA from 1 species